GUAACACGUGGGUAACCUGCCCAAGAGAUCGGGAUAACACCUGGAAACAGAUGCUAAAUACCGGAUAACAACAGAUGAUGCCUAUCAACUGUUUAAAAGAUGGUUCUGCUAUCACUCUUGGGAUGGACCUGCGGUGCAUUAGCUAGUUGGGUAGGGGUAACGGCCUACCAAGGCGAUGAUGCAUAGCCGAGUUGAGAGACUGAUCGGCCACAUUGGGACUGAGACACGGCCCAAACUCCUACGGGAGGCAGCAGUAGGGGAAUCUUCCACAAUGGACGCAAGUCUGAUGGAGCAAACGCCGCGUGAGUGAAGAAGGGUUUCGGCUCGUAAAGCUCUGUUGUUGGUGAAGAAGGACAGGGGGUAGUAACUGACCUUUGUUUGACGGUAAUCAAUUAGAAAAGUCACGGGCUAACUACGUGCCCAGCAGCCGCGGGUAAAU
rnacentral:rRNA from 1 species